rnacentral:rRNA from 1 species
AACGAACGCUAUCGGUAUGCUUAACACAUGCAAGUCGGACGGACUAAUUAGGGCUUGCUCCAAUUAGUUAGUGGCAGACGGGUGAGUAACACGUGGGAAUCUGCCCAUCAGUACGGAAUAACUUUUAGAAAUAAAAGCUAAUACCGUAUAUUCUCUACAGAGUAAAGACUUAUCGCUGAUGGAUGAGCCCGCGUCAGAUUAGGUAGUUGGUGAGGUAACGGCUCACCAAGCCGACGAUCUGUAGCUGGUCUGAGAGGAUGAUCAGCCACACUGGGACUGAGACACGGCCCAGAAUCCUACGGGAGGCAGCAGUGGGGAAUAUUGGACAAUGGGCGAAAGCCUGAUCCAGCAAUACCGAGUGAGUGAUAAAGGCCCUAGGGUUGUAAAGCUCUUUUAGCAAGGAAGAUAAUGACGUUACUUGCAGAAAAAGCCCCGGCUAACUCCGUG